rnacentral:misc_RNA from 1 species
AAGUCGUAACAAGGUUUCCGUAGGUGAACCUGCGGAAGGAUCAUUAACACGUAUCCACGUAUCAACCAACUGUGAACUUGUUUUCAACACUUAUUUCACCCCCUUUUUGCUAGUUGACUUUUAUAUGUUGUCUCUGUUGUACUUCAUUGUAUAACUGAUUCACACGUUUAUUAUUUGAACGUUAAAAUUACAACUCUUAGCAAUGGAUAUCUUGGUUCUCGCAACGAUG